GACAGAGGAUGCAAGCGUUAUCCGGAAUGAUUGGGCGUAAAGCGUCUGUAGGUGGCUUUUUAAGUCUGCCGUCAAAUCCCAGGGCUUAACCCUGGACAGGCGGUGGAAACUAGCAAGCUGGAGUACGGUAGGGGCAGAGGGAAUUUCCGGUGGAGCGGUGAAAUGCGUAGAGAUCGGAAAGAACACCAACGGCGAAAGCGCUCUGCUGGGCCGACACUGACACUGAGAGACGAAAGCUAGGGGAGCGAAUGGG
rnacentral:rRNA from 1 species